AACGAACGCUGGCGGCAUGCCUAACACAUGCAAGUCGAACGAAGUCUUCGGACUUAGUGGCGCACGGGUGCGUAACGCGUGGGAAUCUGCCCUUGGGUGCGGAAUAACUUCUCGAAAGGGAUGCUAAUACCGCAUAAUGUCGUAAGACCAAAGAUUUAUCGCCCAAGGAUGAGCCCGCGUAAGAUUAGCUAGUUGGUGGGGUAAAAGCCUACCAAGGCGACGAUCUUUAGCUGGUCUGAGAGGAUGAUCAGCCACACUGGGACUGAGACACGGCCCAGACUCCUACGGGAGGCAGCAGUGGGGAAUAUUGGACAAUGGGCGAAAGCCUGAUCCAGCAAUGCCGCGUGAGUGAUGAAGGCCCUAGGGUUGUAAAGCUCUUUUACCAGGGAUGAUAAUGACAGUACCUGGAGAAUAAGCUCCGGCUAACUACCGUGCCAGCAGCCGCGGUAAU
rnacentral:rRNA from 1 species